UACAGAGGUCCCAAGCGUUGUUCGGAUUCACUGGGCGUAAAGGGUGCGUAGGUGGUGAGGUAAGUCGGAUGUGAAAAGCUCCGAGCUCAACUCGGAAAUGGCAUUGGAAACUACCUUGCUCGAGGGUUUGAGGGGGGGACUGGAAUACUUGGUGUAGCAGUGAAAUGCGUAGAUAUCAAGUAGAACACCAGUGGCGAAGGC
rnacentral:rRNA from 1 species